GUGGGGAAUAUUGGACAAUGGGCGAAAGCCUGAUCCAGCCAUGCCGCGUGUGUGAAGAAGGUCUUCGGAUUGUAAAGCACUUUAAGUUGGGAGGAAGGGCAGUAAGUUAAUACCUUGCUGUUUUGACGUUACCGACAGAAUAAGCACCGGCUAACUUCGUGCCAGCAGCCGCGGUAAUACGAAGGGUGCAAGCGUUAAUCGGAAUUACUGGGCGUAAAGCACGCGUAGGUGGUUUUGUAAGUUGGAGGUGAAAUCCCCGGGCUCAACCUGGGAACUGCCUACAAAACUGCAUGACUAGAGUACGGUAGAGGGUGGUGGAAUUUCCUGUGUAGCGGUGAAAUGCGUAGAUAUAGGAAGGAACACCAGUGGCGAAGGCGACCACCUGGACUGAUACUGACACUGAGGUGCGAAAGCGUGGGGAGCAAACAGGAUUAGAUACCCGGGUAGUCC
rnacentral:rRNA from 1 species